AGCAUAUCAAUAAGCGGAGGAAAAGAAACUAACAAGGAUUCCCCUAGUAACUGCGAGUGAAGCGGGAAGAGCUCAAAUUUGAAAUCUGGCGGUCUUUGACUGUCCGAGUUGUAAUCUAGAGAAGUGUUACCUGUGCUGGACCGUGUAAAAGUCUCCUGGAAUGGAGCAUCAUAGAGGGUGAGAAUCCCGUCUUUGACAUGGACUACCUGUACAUUAUGGUGUGCUCUCAAAGAGUCGAGUUGUUUGGGAAUGCAGCUCAAAAUGGGUGGUAAAUGCCAUCUAAAGCUAAAUAUUGGCGAGAGACCGAUAGCGAACAAGUACCGUGAGGGAAAGAUGAAAAGAACUUUGGAAAGAGAGUUAAACAGUACGUGAAAUUGCUGAAAGGGAAACGCUUGAAGUCAGUCGCGUUGGCUAGAAAUCAGCCUUGCUUUUGCUGGGUGUACUUUCUGGUUGACGGGUCAGCAUCAAUUUUGACCACUGGAUAAAGUCUUUGGGAACGUGGCAUCUUUUGGGAUGUGUUAUAGCCCAUUGUUCACAUGUGGUGGUUGGGAUUGAGGAACUCAGCACGCCUGCAAAGGCCGGGUUUCGACCACGUUCGUGCUUAGGAUGCUGGCAUAAUGGCUUUAAUCGACCCGUCUUGAAACACGGACCAAGGAGUCUAACAUGCCUGCGAGUGUUUGGGUGGAAAACCCAUGCGCGCAAUGAAAGUGAAAGUUGAGAUCCCUUUCUAGGGAGCAUUGACGCCCGGACCAGACCUUUUGUGACGGAUCCGCGGUAGAGCAUGUAUGUUGGGACCCGAAAGAUGGUGAACUAUGCCUGAAUAGGGUGAAGCCAGAGGAAACUCUGGUGGAGGCUCGUAGCGAUUCUGACGUGCAAAUCGAUCGUCAAAUUUGGGUAUAGGGGCGAAAGACUAAUCGAACCAUCUAGUAG
rnacentral:rRNA from 1 species